UUAAAAGCUAAACACCCAUAUGUUACGCAAAAAAGUCCGGAAAACAUGACCUUGGACAGCCAGCCAGACGGACGACCAGCACCAUAACAUAAUACUCUGACGAAGGACGUAUAAAAAUGACCCCAUUACUGAUCAAAAUUUAAUGUUGAUCACUUUUCAGCGACUUUUAAACAUCAAAAUUUAACGUUAAAUUUUGAUCGGCGUCAACUUUUAACAUUAAGUAUUGACCCUAGGGUCGUUUUUCAUCAGGUCACUAUUUAAUGUUAUACACCGGAACCUGUGACGUUGCAUAUAAGAAAAGUUAUUUCCAGAACUCUAACAAUAAUGCAUGUAUCUGUCACAAGGAAAUCAACAAUUACUCACUGUUAAUCAAUUUUCACAUGUUGUCUGUCACUAGUUUGAAAUCGAAAAUCCGAAGUAUGAAACAUUUUGCAAAAAUUAGGAAACACGCAUUUUGGUUCUCAGGUUGAUUUUUAUUCAAACAUGCUUUUCUAUUGAUAUCAACAAGAAUGAUCUUUUUUUCUUUUUCUUUUUUAUCUAUGAUGAAACGCUUUUCAAGAACCAAAUUGUGUCUUUACUAUCCGACUUUGGAUUUUCGAUUUUUUUUCUACCGCCAAUAGAGAUAAUUUACACUUAUUUUCCUCACUACAGGCGAUAUCUAUAUUUUGGUCAAUGGAUUUUCGGCAGAGUGACUGCAUGUACGAUCCGGAGUUGAGCUUGGCCCGAGAAUGCGCUACUUAUGAAUCAUAUGAUAAAAGCACACUCAAUAAUGACGUCACUUAUAUUGGAAGCCACCUACACCGGUAAACAGGGGGAGGGAUCUUCAAAUGCGGAAGUGAGAUUGUAGGCUCGUCUCUCUAAUCACUGCCAGAACACUGCCGCACGUCUCAUAUCCAGGACCUCUCGUUACAACCAUAUCACUCCAAUACUAAGAGAACUACACUGGUUACCUGUGCAGUAUAGGACACAAUAUAAGAUACUUACUUAUACUUACAAAGCCUUACAUGGUGAAUGCCCAAUUUAUAUCAAACGAUUACUAAAGGUAUAUAAGCCUACCCGAAAUUCUUAGGUCUAUAAAACAAUCGGUCGCUCUAGUUGUUUCAGAACAAUAGCUCCAAAACUGUGGAAUGCCCUUCCAGGACAUGUAAGGGACUGUAGAACACUGUGUGCGUUCAAGAAGUCACUGAAAACACAUUUUUUCCAUCACGUUUUCCAGGACUAGUUUCUAUCAUUUCAGUUAUUCGUGUUUGCUGUUUCAGUGCAUUAAGAUUAUCUUGUCUGUUUUGACUGUGUGUUUAAUUUUCGAGUACCAUUUUGUGAUAUUUUAUAAAAACAAGAGGCCCAAGGGCCACAUCGCUCACCUGAGUCACCUUGGCUCAUAUUUAAAGAUUUGCCCUAUAUAUUUGUAUGCAGAACUUUGAUCCCCCCCUUGUGACCCCAUCCUACCCCUAGGAGCCAUGCUUUUAACAAACUGAAAUCUGAAAUAUGUCAGAAAGCUUUCAUGUAAAUCUCAAACUUUUCUGGCUCAGUGGUUCUUGAGAAGAUUUUUAAAGAUUUUUCCUAUAUAUUUGUAGGUAAAACUUUGAUCCCCUAUUGUGGCCCCAUCCAACCCCCCGGGACCAUGAUUUUACAAACUUAAAUCUGCACUAUGUCAGGAAUCUUUCACUUAAAUCUCAGCUUUUCUGGCUCGGUGGUU